GCCUACGGGGGGCAGCAGUGAGGAAUAUUGGUCAAUGGUCGGGAGACUGAACCAGCCAAGCCGCGUGAGGGAUGAAGGUACAGAGUAUCGUAAACCUCUUUUGUCAGGGAACAAAGGCGGGGACGUGUCCCCGGAUGAGUGUACCUGAAGAAAAAGCAUCGGCUAACUCCGUGCCAGCAGCCGCGGUAAUACGGAGGAUGCGAGCGUUAUCCGGAUUUAUUGGGUUUAAAGGGUGCGCAGGCGGUCUGUUAAGUCAGCGGUCAAAGCCCGGGGCUCAACCCCGACCCGCCGGUGAAACUGGCAGU
rnacentral:rRNA from 1 species